CGCUGGCGGCGUGCCUAAUACAUAGCAAGUCGAACGGUCUUUCUAUGGAAGCUUGCUUCCACUGAGAGAUAGUGGCGGACGGGUGAGUAACACGUGGGUAACCUGCCCAUAAGAGGGGGAUAACAUCCGGAAACGGGUGCUAAUACCGCAUAGUUUUUCUUGAUCGCAUGAUCGAGAAAGGAAAGACGGCCUUUGUGCUGUCGCUUAUGGAUGGACCCGCGGCGUAUUAGUUAGUUGGUGAGGUAAUGGCUCACCAAGACGAUGAUACGUAGCCGACCUGAGAGGGUGAUCGGCCACAUUGGGACUGAGACACGGCCCAAACUCCUACGGGAGGCAGCAGUAGGGAAUCUUCCGCAAUGGACGAAAGUCUGACGGAGCAACGCCGCGUGAGUGAAGAAAGGGUUUUCGGAUCGUAAAACUCUGUUGUCAGAGAAGAACAAGUUGGAGAGUAACUGCUCCAGCCUUGACGGUAUCUGACCAGAAAGCCACGGCUAACUACGUGCCAGCCGCCGC
rnacentral:rRNA from 1 species